GCACCGUUAGCUCAGCUGGUAGAGCAAGUGACUCUUAAUCACUGGGUCGCAGGUUCGAUCCCUGCACGGUGCACAA
rnacentral:tRNA from 1 species